AUGAAUGAAAGAGUAAACAAAGAAAUGAAGUGGGCAAAUGAAACACUUCACAGCUUCGUUCACAACAGUAAAAGUGAUGGAUAUAUCAUAUGAUUUAAAAAUACUGAUGAUUUGAUACAGCAAAGAAUGAUUCCCAGUCUGAUCCACUAGUAGGGAUGGAAGAAAUAGUAAAGAAAAAAGAGAAUCAAAGGACAACCCUCAUGUCA
rnacentral:lncRNA from 1 species